rnacentral:lncRNA from 1 species
AUGCUCUCUGCCCCUUGCCCCCUCCUCUGUAGGUCAUGUCUUUGGCCCAGAGCGAUUCUUGGCUCAGGUACCCCUAGUCCAGGGAAGGCAGGACCCAAGCUGAGCCCCUGCACAGCCCCUCUCCCUGGAGCCUCACACCAAUGCCCCAAUGCUGCAAGCUCAGUGAAGUCGCCCUCCUUUUACCGCAGGGAACAAGAUUCACAGGACCUGCCUAAGGUUGCGGAGCUUGAAUGCAGCAAAGGGCUGCAAGAAGAGUGGGGGAGCGGGAGAGAGACGCAAGAGAAGAAAAAAGACAACAGGUGAGUGAUGAUACGGAUCACGGGAAAGACCAGCCUAGGUACUUCUGCGAGGAUGGAGAGGGGAGGGGAAGGUCAAUGUUCUGAUUCAUCAACUAACUAACAGGCUGUACUGGUUAAAAAUACAGCCUUUAAACUUUAAAGGGCAAAUAAGACUCUCUAGAACUUACAUGUUUUAGUUUCUACCUACAAUUUAAUCAAUUGACCUGUAAAUCUCCUUCAUUUAAAAAUAUUUUUAUGGAGUUCCCUUUGUGGCUCAGCGGUCAACGAACCUGACUAAGGUCCAUGAGGUUGCAGGUUCGAUCCCUGGCCUUGCUCAGUGGAUUAAGGAUCCGGCGUUGCCAUGAGCUGUGGUGUAGGUUGAAGAUGCAGCUUGGAUCCUGCAUUGCUGUGGCUGUGGUAUAGGCUGGAAGCUACAGCUCCUAUUGGACCCCUAGCCUAGGAACCUCCACAUGCCAUGGAAGAGGCCUCCCCCCCCCAAAAAAAGCAAAAAUAUUUCAUUUAAAAAUUUACCAUGGGGAGUUCCUGUUGUGGCGCAGUGGUUAACGAAUCCGACUAGGAACCACGAGGUUGAGGGUUAGAUCCCUGCCCUUGCUAAGUGGGUUAAGGAUCCGGUGUUGCCCUGAGCUGUGGUGUAGGUUGCAGACGAGGCUCAGAUCCCGCAUUGCUGUGGCUCUGGCGUAGGCCGGCAGCUACAGCUCUGAUUAGACCCCUAGCCUGGGAAUCUCCAUAU